GAGGCUGAGGAAUUUUUUUUUUUUUUAAGAUGGUUUCACCAUGUCUUGAACUCCCAACCUCAGGUGAUCUGCCAGCCUUGGCCUCCAAAGUGCUUGGAUUACAGGCGUGGGCCACCACGCCCGGCCGGAAUUUUUUUUUUAAUUAAAAAAAGAGAGGAAUAUACGUACAGGUCUCACUCUGUCACCCAGGCUGGAAUGCAGUGGCUCACUGCAGCCUUGACCUCCUGGGCUCAACUAAUCCUCCUGCCUCAGCCUCCCAAGUACCUGGGAUGACAGGUGUGUGCCACCACACCCAGCUACAUUUUCAAUUUAUUAUUAGUAGAGAGGGGGUCUUGCUAUGUUGCCCAGGCCCAUCUUGAACCUCCUGAGCUCAAGUGAUCCAUCCACCUUGGCAUCCCAAAGUGCUGUGCUGGGAUUACAGGCUUAAGCCACCCUACCCGGCCUGAUAUAAAUACACAAUUGAAUAAAUACAUAAACAGGGGAGGAGAGACAAACUCCUGUGCAAAAUUCCAUACAGUUUCUGUAGUGACCCUGCACUUAAGGAAGUAGAGCAUAAUUCCCCACUCCUUAAAUGUGGCCUAGGAAUAGUGACUUCAUUCCAAAGAGUACAGCAUGGAAAGAGGAAAAAAAAGUAAGUUUAGGCUGGGCAUGGUGCCUCAUGCCUGUAAUCCCAGCACUUUGGGAGGCCAAGGUGGGCAGAUGACCUGAGGUUAGGGACCGGCCUGGGCAACAUAGUGAAACCCCAUCUCUACUAAAAAUACAAAAGUUAGCCGGGCAUAAUAGCAUGCGCCUGUAGUCCCAGCUACUCAGGAGGCUGAGGCAGGAGAAUUGCUUGAACCUGAGAGGUGGAGGUUGCAGUGAGCUGAGAUUGUGUCAUCGCACUCCACCUGGGCCACUGAGUGAGACUCCAUCUCAUAAAAAAAAAAAGUAAGUUUACAAUGGAGAAGCCUGACAAACACUACCUAGAUUUCCAAAGCAUAAUUUCCUAACCAUGGUUGCAAUACCAACCUGGAAUGUUUUAUCUGUGUGUCACUCUCAGAUCAAGAAAUGAGAAAUGCCAGGUGAUCAAGAUGAACACCAACAGUGAUAAUUCAUGUUGAUAGCCUGUACCCUUGAUAUGAUGCCAUGAGAAUGACACUUUACCUCUGUGGUCUUCCUCCUCCAAAUCCAUAACCCCAGUCUCAUCACAAGAAAAACAUCAGACAAAUCCCAACUGAGGGACAUUAUACAAAUAUCUCUCUAGUACCCCUCAAAUUGUCGAGGUCAUCAAAACAAGGAAAGACUGACAAUCUAUCACAGCCAAGAGGAGUCUAAGGAGACACACAGACUAAAUGUCACAGUGGUUUCCAG
rnacentral:lncRNA from 1 species